CAGAAUCCACUGGUAUGAUGCUCAAAAUUCCAAUUAUGUAGAGUUCUGGAUAAAAAAAAAAAAUAAUGGCCUGGACAGGUGUUCAGCCCACCAGUUAAGACAGCUCGGACAGGUGUUCAGCCCACCAGUUAAGACGGCCUGGACAGGUGUUCAGCCCACCAGUUAAGAUGGCCUGGACAGGUGUUCAGCUCACCAGUUAAGACAGCUCGGACAGGUGUUCAGCCCACCAGUUAAGACGGCUCAGACAGGUGUUCAGCCCACCAGUUAAGAUGGCCUGGACAGGUGUUCAGCCCACCAGUUAAGAUGCCCACGUCCCUUACUGGGACACCUGAGCUCGAGGCUCGGUUCUGUGUUGUGACUCCAGCUUCCUGGAAUGUGCACCCAGAAGGCGGCAGUGAUGGCUCCAGUAAUGGGUUCCUGCCAC